AGAAAUAGACAGUGUCUGUCUUCAUUUCAGAUCGACAAAGGUCAGUUUAAAGGAUUUUCGUCCGAUUUUGAGAGGCGUUAGUCACGCUCAUCCCGCUCGUCAUUUCCAGGUCAGCACAGCGCCUGCACACCCACCGAUUCAACAUGUCAAAUCGGCCAAAAUGAAGGCCGAC